rnacentral:rRNA from 1 species
GACGAACGCUGGCGGCGUGCUUAACACAUGCAAGUCGAGCGGUAAGGCCCUUUCGGGGUACGACGAGCGGCGAACGGGUGAGUAACACGUGGGUGACCUGCCCUCAGCUCUGGGAUAAGCCUGGGAAACUGGGUCUAAUACUGGAUAUGACUCCACGGUGCAUGUCGUGGGGUGGAAAGCCUUGUGCGGCUGAGGAUGGGCCCGCGGCCUAUCAGCUUGUUGGUGGGGUGAGGCCUACCAAGGCGACGACGGGUAGCCGGCCUGAGAGGGCGACCGGCCACACUGGGACUGAGACACGGCCCAGACUCCUACGGGAGGCAGCAGUGGGGAAUCUUGCGCAAUGGGCGAAAGCCUGACGCAGCGACGCCGCGUGAGGGAUGACGGCC